GCGCUUGCGCAUCUAGCCAAGGCGGACGGGUGAGUAACGCGUAAGGAACUUGCCCUGCAGACAGGGAUAACAGACGGAAACGACUGAUAACACCUGGUAUUGUCAGGCUGGCGCAUGCGGCCUGAUGAAAGGAGACGCUGCAGGAGAGCCUUGCGUCCUAUUAGCUAGUUGGUGGGGUAACGGCCCACCAAGGCGAUGAUAGGUAGCCGGCCUGAGAGGGUGAACGGCCACAAGGGGACUGAGAUACGGCCCUUACUCCUACGGGAGGCAGCAGUGGGGAAUAUUGGACAAUGGGGGCAACCCUGAUCCAGCAAUUCUGUGUGCACGAAGAAGGUUUUCGGAUUGUAAAGUGCUUUCAGCAGGGAAGAAGAAAGUGACGGUACCUGCAGAAGAAGCGACGGCUAAAUACGUGCCAGCAGCCGCGGUAAUACGUAUGUCGCAAGCGUUAUCCGGAAUUAUUGGGCAUAAAGGGCAUCUAGGCGGCCCUGUAAGUCUAGGGUGAAAACCUGCGGCUCAACCGCAGGCCUGCCCCGGAAACUACAGGGCUAGAGUAUCGGAGAGGUGGACGGAACUGCACGAGUAGAGGUGAAAUUCGUAGAUAUGUGCAGGAAUGCCGAUGAUGAAGAUAGUUCACUGGACGGUAACUGACGCUGAAGUGCGAAAGCUAGGGGAGCAAACAGGAUUAGAUACCCUGGUAGUCCUAGCUGUAAACGAUG
rnacentral:rRNA from 1 species